rnacentral:rRNA from 1 species
UUUUGGACAAUGGGGGCAACCCUGAUCCAGCAACUCUGCGUGAGGGACGAAGGUCUUCGGAUCGUAAACCUCUUUUGCUAGGGACGAACACCCGCAAGGGUCUGACGGUACCUAGCGAAUAAGCACCGGCUAACUCCGUGCCAGCAGCCGCGGUAAUACGGAGGGUGCGAGCGUUAAUCGGAAUUACUGGGCGUAAAGCGUACGCAGGCGGUUUGUUAAGCGAGAUGUGAAAGCCCCGGGCUCAACCUGGGAACUGCAUUUCGAACUGGCAAACUAGAGUGUGAUAGAGGGUGGUAGAAUUUCAGGUGUAGCGGUGAAAUGCGUAGAGAUUUGAAGGAAUACCGAUGGCGAAGGCAGCCACCUGGGUCAACACUGACGCUCAUUACGAAA